GACGAACGCUGGCGGCGUGCUUAACACAUGCAAGUCGAACGGAAAGGCCCUGCUUUUGUGGGGUGCUCGAGUGGCGAACGGGUGAGUAACACGUGAGUAACCUGCCCUUGACUUUGGGAUAACUUCAGGAAACUGGGGCUAAUACCGGAUAGGAGCUCCUGCUGCACGGGGGGGGUUGGAAAGUUUCGGCGGUUGGGGAUGGACUCGCGGCUUAUCAGCUUGUUGGUGGGGUAGUGGCUUACCAAGGCUUUGACGGGUAGCCGGCCUGAGAGGGUGACCGGCCACAUUGGGACUGAGAGACGGCCCAGACUCCUACGGGAGGCAGCAGUGGGGAAUAUUGCACAAUGGGCGGAAGCCUGAUGCAGCAACGCCGCGUGCGGGAUGACGGCCUUCGGGUUGUAAACCGCUUUCGCCUGUGACGAAGCGUGAGUGACGGUAAUGGGUAAAGAAGCACCGGCUAACUACGUG
rnacentral:rRNA from 1 species